CGCGUAGGUGGUUAGGUAAGCGAGAUGUGAAAGCCCCGGGCUUAACCUGGGAACGGCAUUUCGAACUGUCUGACUAGAGUAUGGUAGAGGGUAGUGGAAUUUCCUGUGUAGCGGUGAAAUGCGUAGAUAUAGGAAGGAACACCAGUGGCGAAGGCGGCUACCUGGACCAAUACUGACACUGAGGUGCGAAAGCGUGGGGAGCAAAUA
rnacentral:rRNA from 1 species